GACGAACGCUGGCGGCGUGCUUAACACAUGCAAGUCGAACGCUGAAGCCUAGCUUGCUGGGUGGAUGAGUGGCGAACGGGUGAGUAACACGUGAGCAACCUGCCCUCUUCUUUGGGAUAACGCCCGGAAACGGGUGCUAAUACUGGAUAUUCACUGAUCUUCGCAUGGGGGUUGGUGGAAAGGUUUUUUCUGGUGGGGGAUGGGCUCGCGGCCUAUCAGCUUGUUGGUGGGGUGAUGGCCUACCAAGGCUUUGACGGGUAGCCGGCCUGAGAGGGUGACCGGUCACAUUGGGACUGAGAUACGGCCCAGACUCCUACGGGAGGCAGCAGUGGGGAAUAUUGCACAAUGGGCGAAAGCCUGAUGCAGCGACGCCGCGUGAGGGAUGGAGGCCUUCGGGUUGUAAACCUCUUUCGCUCAUGGUCAAGCCGCAGCUUUGGGUUGUGGUGAGGGUAGUGGGUAAAGAAGCGCCGGCUAACUACGUGCCAGCAGCCGCGGUAAUACGUAGGGCGCGAGCGUUGUCCGGAAUUAUUGGGCGUAAAGGGCUUGUAGGCGGUUGGUCGCGUCUGCCGUGAAAUCCUCUGGCUUAACUGGGGGCGUGCGGUGGGUACGGGCUGACUUGAGUGCGGUAGGGGAGACUGGAACUCCUGGUGUAGCGGUGGAAUGCGCAGAUAUCAGGAAGAACACCGGUGGCGAAGGCGGGUCUCUGGGCCGUUACUGACGCUNNAGGAGCGAAAGCGUGGGGGAGCGAACANNA
rnacentral:rRNA from 1 species